rnacentral:tRNA from 1 species
AGCUUUAUAGUUUAUCUAGAACGUUAAAUUGCAAGUUUAAAAAUACAGUGUUUUGUUGAAGCUU